UACAUUUUUACUUCAUAGUCACUUUUGCUUUCUUUCUAUUGGAGGUACACAGCGUUCAUUUUAGGUGAAUCAGGAGCCAAUAAAUCUGUGGCAGAAUUAACCUAUGCAUGGCAAAAACACAUAAAAUACAUUCUUCUGUUUUGUAAUAAAUAAACCUGUAGCAUAAUAAAGAAUAGUGCAAACUACCAUUGAAAAAGUUGUAUAAAUAAAACAACUCAUUAUACAUCAGGAAUAUUUUGUCCUAAUAAGUUUACGAUACAUAAAUUAUCCCCCCUCAUUCAUACCAUAACUUUUGUAUUGGAAAGGGACUUUGAAAGUGAAUAAUAUGAAAAUCAAAUAAACUUUAAAACUGUAGAAUUAUUUUAUAUUCAAGUUUUAUGGUCUUUUCUUUAUAAAGGAGGGUCUGCAUGUUUCAUAUUUACUGUAACAAUCUGAAGACAACAUUGAGGGCUUCCAAAUGACAGCACCAUGCACUGUACUAGUAAUAUAUCUAUAAACUAUAUAUAAUCUCAUCAACACAAUGCAAAAAAGACAUGCAGGAAGAGUCUUGGUUUUCACAUUUCACUUUUCAUUCAAGUAAGCUUAAAAAUAUAUUUUUCCAUUUUCUUUCCCCUAUUUUUUUAAAACAAACCAUGGACCAUAAAUGACAAUCUUUCACCAAAAUGUGUAAUAUAAUUCUUUGGUGUGUUUUGAACUCUUCCAGGGGUGGGGUUGGGGAGGAUGAUGUCUGAAAAUAAAUUAAUUCAACUGUACAAAUAAAAGUGUUCACAUACAAGUUAUUAACAAUGACAAGACUACAUCAACCACUCAGCACACAAAACAUUUCUACAAACCCUGGGGAGGGGGUGUCUUCAGGGUCUCUGAGGAUAAAUUAGUGCUCUUUAGUAUAUUUGUAUGAUGUUUCUGAUGGACUACAUUUUGCACAGGAGAUGUGUUGUACUAUCUGAAAAUAAAUUGACUAAGAGUUAUUGUCCUAGGUCCUUGACCUUUUUUAUCCUAGCUUGACAGCUCUGGCAAAGGUCACACAUUCAUCAGUGUUUGGUGGUAACUAUAAACCUUUUAAAAAUUUUAAUAUGUAUAGCAACUCCUUCCCCUCUUUUAAUGUAAAUCAUAUACUUCACACUGUCAUUUUCAAACGGAAGAGAGUUUGGUGUGCUCAGUGCUCAGGUGGAAGAAAAUGCACUAAAAUGAAGUUUCAGGCAUUAAAAUAUACUUUUUUAAAAAAAGGUUGACACAAUAGUAUAAAAGAAGAGUUGGCCUGUUUUAAAAACAGCUUUCCGAAAGAAAUAAAAAUUUGAAAAACAGGCAAUGCCAUCAUCACAUCUCCACAGACCUGACUGUGAAUGUUGGCAUCCCAAAGAACUUAUGAUCAAAAACAUAAUCUGUAUUACACAAGAAGUCUGGACACAGUAAGAAGGCAGCAUCUGAGAUUUCAGAUUAAAG
rnacentral:lncRNA from 1 species